GAUUGGCCUAUUGGUUAGAGUGUCUGCCUUAGAUGCAGGAGGUUGUGGGUUUGAACCCCAGCCAAGACA